CUUCAGCGCGCCCAGCCACAGCGGCCGUUCCGGGUCGCGGUCGCGUCCGUACGUGGCCAGGAGCGCCCGCGCCUC
rnacentral:antisense_RNA from 1 species